GCCCCCUCUGUCCCCUCCUCCUGUGCUGGCUCCGAGCUGGCGGCCGGGCCGGGCGGAGCAGCAGCUGCAGCCCCGGUGUCCCUGGAGCGGUGGGAGCUGCCGGUGGCCGCAGGCCCUGUGCCCUGAGGAGCUGCUGGAGGACGCUGCCCUGAAGACCUUGAGAAGAGCGGAAGAGUGACGAGAACCAGCAGGGAGAAGCGGAAGGCCACAGCGAGAGCAGCGAAUACGGACCUGCUGCUGCCGCCCGAGACCCUGGGUGUCCCAUCUGCUGUCCCCGUCCAGGAGAGCUGCUCUGCACGGGAGGAAGAGACCGAGGGAGAGGCUUUGAUGAUGGGGCGGCUGGAAUCCCUCUUCUUGUAUCUCUGUUUAAAGAUGUAUGGACUUGCUCAUAAGAUAGUGACCAUUACAUGGAUAUUUAUAUGUAGGUUGCUAUUUGUAUAGGUAUAUUUGUAUAUGUAUGUUGUUAUAUUUAUGGG